rnacentral:rRNA from 1 species
AGUCGCACGAGAAGGGACUUCGGUCCUGAGUACAGUGGCGCACGGGUGAGUAACACGUGAAUCAUCUACCUUCGAGUGGGGAAUAACUGAGAGAAAUCUUAGCUAAUACCGCAUAAUACCUACGGGUCAAAGCAGCAAUGCGCUUGAAGAGGAGUUCGCGGCAGAUUAGUUAGUUGGCAGGGUAAUGGCCUACCAAGACGAUGAUCUGUAUCCGGCCUGAGAGGGCGCACGGACACACUGGAACUGAAACACGGUCCAGACUCCUACGGGAGGCAGCAGUGGGGAAUUUUGCGCAAUGGGGGAAACCCUGACGCAGCAACGCCGCGUGGAGGAUGAAAUCCCUUGGGAUGUAAACUCCUUUCGAUAGGGAAGAUAAUGACGGUACCUAUAGAAGAAGCCCCGGCUAACUUCGUGCCAGCAGCCGCGGUAAUACGGGGGGGGCAAGCGUUGUUCGGAAUUAUUGGGCGUAAAGGGUGCGUAGGCGGUUUGACAAGUCUUAUGUGAAAUCUUCGGGCUCAACCCGAAGUCUGCAUGGGAAACUGUCGGGCUUGAGUAUGGGAGAGGUGAGUGGAAUUUCCGGUGUAGCGGUGAAAUGCGUAGAUAUCGGAAGGAACACCUGUGGCGAAAGCGGCUCACUGGACCAUAACUGACGCUGAUGCACGAA